rnacentral:rRNA from 1 species
CCUACGGGUGACAGCAGUGAGGAAUAUUGGUCAAUGGGCGGAAGCCUGCACCAGCCACGUCGCGUGAGGGAUUAAGGCCCUGCGGGUCGUAAACCUCUUUUGCCGGGGCGCAGUGGUCCGGACGCGUCCGGACAGGGAGCGUACCCGGAGAAAAAGCAUCGGCUAACUCCGUGCCAGCCGCCGCAGUAAUACGGAGGAUCCGAGGGUUAUCCGGAGUUAUUGGGUUUAAAGGGUGCGUAGGCGGCCUUUUAAGUCAGCGGUGAAAGUCGGUGGCUCAACCAUAGAAUUGCCGUUGAAACUGGUAGGCUUGAGUAUGGGUGAGGCAGGCGGAAUGCGUGGUGUAGCGGUGAAAUGCUUAGAUAUCACGCAGAACCCCGAUUGCGAAGGCAGCCUGCCAAGCCAUGACUGACGCUGAUGCACGAAAGCGUGGGGAGCAAACAGGAUUAGAUACCCCUGUAGUC